CAUCAACAUAUCAUCAAAUAAAUCCUAGUAUCGUCCUUGAACUUAAAAUUAAGUCAUGGCAAUUAAUCCUCUCAAAACUCUUUUGGUGACUCUCUUGGUCUGUGCACUAGUAGUGUCUCCAAUGAUGACCAUCGAGGCAUCUCCUCUUAAUCAUCAUCGAGAGCUCCGAAAGGUACCAUCAAAUUGUGAUCCCGGCUAUUAUCUCAUAUGCACGCCGAAUGGUGAAUGCAAGUGUUGUCCAGAUGGCACUCUUCCUAGCGGUUGCUGAAAAUCAAAUUAUUAUGAAUGAAUAAAAGAGUAUCUCCAUAUGGAUAUAAAUUAAAAGAAUGUCUCUCUUUAUAUAUUUGUCCAUAAUUGGUAUGAGCUAUUCAAUUAUGUUAUAGCUAUCAUAUGUUAAUAAAAGAGUACCUCCCUUAAUAUA